ACGGAAGGCAGCAGUGGGGAAUAUUGCGCAAUGGAGGAAACUCUGACGCAGCGACGCCGCGUGAGUGGUGAAGUAUUUCGGUAUGUAAAGCUCUAUCAGCAGGGAAGAUAAUGACGGUACCUGACUAAGAAGCACCGGCUAAAUACGUGCCAGCAGCCGCGGUAAUACGUAUGGUGCAAGCGUUAUCCGGAUUUACUGGGUGUAAAGGGAGCGUAGGUGGUCUGGCAAGCCAGAAGUGAAAACCCGGGGCUCAACCCCGUGGAUUGCUUUUGGAACUGUUGGACUAGAGUGCAGGAGGGGUAAGUGGAAUUCCUAGUGUAGCGGUGAAAUGCGUAGAUAUUAGGAGGAACACCAGUGGCGAAGGCGGCUUACUGGACUGUAACUGACGUUGAGGCUCGAAAGCGUGGGGAGCAAACAGGAUUAGAUACCCUGGUA
rnacentral:rRNA from 1 species